GUCCCUGUGGUGCAAUGGAUAACGCGUUUGACUUCUAAUCUAAAGGUCGUGGGUUCGAAUCCCACCUGAAAUG
rnacentral:tRNA from 1 species